GACGAACGCUGGCGGCGUGCUUAACACAUGCAAGUCGAACGGAAAGGCCCUGCUUUUGUGGGGUGCUCGAGUGGCGAACGGGUGAGUAACACGUGAGUAACCUGCCCUUGACUUUGGGAUAACCUCAGGAAACUGGGGCUAAUACCGGAUAGGAGCUCCUGCUGCAUGGUGGGGGUCGGAAAGUUUCGGCGGUUGGGGAUGGACUCGCGGCUUAUCAGCUUGUUGGUGGGGUAGUGGCUUACCAAGGCUUUGACGGGUAGCCGGCCUGAGAGGGUGACCGGCCACAUUGGAACUGGGAUACGGCCCAGACUCCUACGGGGGGCAGCAGUGGGGAAUAUUGCACAAGGGGCGGAAGCCUGAUGCAGCAACGCCGCGUGCGGAAGGACGGCCUUCGGGUUGUAAACCGCUUUCGCCUGUAACGAGGCGUGAGUGACGGUAAUGGGUAAGGAAGCACCGGCUAACUACGU
rnacentral:rRNA from 1 species